rnacentral:misc_RNA from 1 species
ACUCCUUGGCCCUUGAUUUCAACAUGUACCGAUCAAGAUGAAAAUAAUCAAAAUGAGGAUAAUCAUUGGUUAUGUAGGUGUCAAGCAAACGCACCAAGCUUUUCAAAAAAGUGAAUAAUUGUUCAAAUCGCGAGUUAACUCAUACGAUUUUAUGAGUUAGAAUUACCAAAACGAGUCAAAACAUAUGUUAAAUUACAAUCAAG